rnacentral:rRNA from 1 species
GACGAACGCUGGCGGCAUGCCUAAUACAUGCAAGUCGAGCGAACAUUUAUAGAGGUUUGCUUCUUUAAGUGUUAGCGGCGGAUGGGUGAGUAACACGUGGGCAACCUGCCCUGCAGAUGGGGAUAACUCCGGGAACCCGGGGCUAAUACCGGAUAAUCAGUUUGUCCGCAUGGACAAACUCUAAAAGAGGGCUUCUGCUGUCACUGCAGGAUGGGCCCGCGGCGCAUUAGCUAGUUGGUGGGAUAACGGCCUACCAAGGCAACGAUGCGUAGCCGACCUGAGAGGGUGAUCGGCCACACUGGGACUGAGACACGGCCCAGACUCCUACGGGAGGCAGCAGUAGGGAAUCUUCCGCAAUGGGCGGAAGUCUGAUGGAGCAAUGCCGCGUGAGCGAUGAAGGUCUUCGGAUCGUAAAGCUCUGUUGUUAGGGAAGAACAAGUACGUAAGUAACUGCGCGUACCUUGACGGUACCUCAUUAGAAAGCCACGGCUAACUACGUG